rnacentral:rRNA from 1 species
UGGGCAACCUGCCCCUAGCUCUGGGAUAACUGCGGGAAACUGUAGCUAAUACCGGAUGUGACACGAGACUGCAUGGUCUUCGUGUGGAAAGAUUUAUCGGCUAGGGAUGGGCCCGCGGUCUAUCAGCUUGUUGGUGGGUAAUGGCCUACCAAGGCGACGACGGGUAGCCGGCCUGAGAGGGUGUCCGGCCACACUGGAACUGAGACACGGUCCAGACUCCGUACGGGAGCAG